CCCUUAGAUGUUCUGGGCCGCACGCGCGCUACACUGAUGCAUUCAACGAGUUCCUACCUUGGCCGAGAGGCCUGGGCAAUCUUUUGAACUUGCAUCGUGAUAGGGAUAGAUUAUUGCAAUUAUUAAUCUUGAACGAGGAAUUCCUAGUAAACGCAGAUCAUCAAUCUGCAUUGAUUACGUCCCUGCCCUUUGUACACACCGCCCGCCGCACCUACCGAUUGAAUGGUCCGGUGAAGUCUCGGGAUUGUGGUUAGUUUCCUUCAUUGGAAGUUAGCCGCGAGAACUUGUCUAAACCUUAUCAUUUAGAGGAAGGUGAAGUCGUAACA
rnacentral:rRNA from 1 species